rnacentral:lncRNA from 1 species
UCUAACUUAUUUUUGGUCCUUUUUGACUCUUAAGUCUCUAAUACGUUACUUAAUUGGCAUACACGUCGUGCUCCUUACGAUUUAUGGAAUUUACGGAUCCGGGGUGUUACAGUCUCUAUCGUUGUUCGUGCUUGAAGAAGUCAUGAGUCAUGUUUUACAAAUGUCUAUGGUUGAUUUUCUACAGACAAUGCCAAUUAUGGGGGUGUGGAUGAAGAAUAGAAGAAAGAAAAUCAAAGAUAGACACUUGUAGUGUCUGGUUAGUGGUUGACAGUGGUUGUAGGCUUGCUAGUCUAAACUACAAGACAGAAACAAUGAGCAAGGCCCGCCAGAGAUGUUCCGGAAAUGACUCUCCGACGGUCAAGUCAGUGAUUGAAAGUGUUUAGAGAGAGAAAGAGUUUUUAGCUCAGGAUAGCUGAAAUUACAUACAUUUGAUAAAGAAAG